rnacentral:rRNA from 1 species
UACAGAGGUCUCAAGCGUUGUUCGGAAUUACUGGGCGUAAAGGGCGCGUAGGCGGCGAUCCGAGUCAGAUGUGAAAGUCCUGGGCUUAACCUGGGGACUGCAUUUGAUACUGGAUUGCUUGAAUUCGGGAGAGGAUAGCGGAAUUCCCAGUGUAGAGGUGAAAUUCGUAGAUAUUGGGAAGAACACCGGUGGCGAAGGCGGCUAUCUGGACCGACAUUGACGCUGAGGCGCGAAAGCGUGGGGAGCAAACAGG